rnacentral:rRNA from 1 species
UACGUAGGGUGCGAGCGUUGUCCGGAAUUAUUGGGCGUAAAGGGCUCGUAGGCGGUUUGUCGCGUCGGGAGUGAAAACCAGGUGCUUAACACCUGGCUUGCUUUCGAUACGGGCAGACUAGAGGUAUUCAGGGGAGAACGGAAUUCCUGGUGUAGCGGUGAAAUGCGCAGAUAUCAGGAGGAACACCGGUGGCGAAGGCAGGUCUCUGGGCCACUACUGACGCUGAGAAGCGAAAGCAUGGGGAGCGAACAGG